rnacentral:rRNA from 1 species
GACGAACGCUGGCGGCGUGCUUAACACAUGCAAGUCGAACGGAAAGGCCCUGCUUUUGUGGGGUGCUCGAGUGGCGAACGGGUGAGUAACACGUGAGUAACCUGCCCUUGACUUUGGGAUAACUUCGGGAAACUGGGGCUAAUACCGGAUAGGAGCUCCUGCUGCAUGGUGGGGGUUGGAAAGUUUCGGCGGUUGGGGAUGGACUCGCGGCUUAUCAGCUUGUUGGUGGGGUAGUGGCUUACCAAGGCUUUGACGGGUAGCCGGCCUGAGAGGGUGACCGGCCACAUUGGGACUGAGAUACGGCCCAGACUCCUACGGGAGGCAGCAGUGGGGAAUAUUGCACAAUGGGCGGAAGCCUGAUGCAGCAACGCCGCGUGCGGGAUGACGGCCUUCGGGUUGUAAACCGCUUUCGCCAGUGACGAAGCGUGAGUGACGGUAACGGGUAAAGAAGCACCGGCUAACUACGUG